UCCUACGGGAGGCAGCAGUGGGGAAUAUUGCACAAUGGGCGAAAGCCUGAUGCAGCGACGCCGCGUGAGGGAUGACGGCCUUCGGGUUGUAAACCUCUUUCAGCAGGGAAGAAGCGCAAGUGACGGUACCUGCAGAAGAAGCGCCGGCUAACUACGUGCCAGCAGCCGCGGUAAUACGUAGGGCGCAAGCGUUGUCCGGAAUUAUCGGGCGUAAAGAGCUCGUAGGCGGUCUGUCGCGUCUGGUGUGAAAUCCCGAGGCUCAACCUCGGGCUUGCAUCGGGUACGGGCAGACUAGAGUGCGGUAGGGGAGACUGGAAUUCCUGGUGUAGCGGUGGAAUGCGCAGAUAUCAGGAGGAACACCGAUGGCGAAGGCAGGUCUCUGGGCCGCAACUGACGCUGAGGAGCGAAAGCAUGGGGAGCGAACAGGAUUAGAUACCCUGGUAGCCCAUGCCGUAACGUUGGGCACUAGGUGAGGGGCUCAUUCCACGAGUUCCGUGCCGCAGCUAACGCAUUAAGUGCCCCGCCUGGGGAGUACGGCCGCAAGGCUAAAACUCAAAUGAAUUGACGGA
rnacentral:rRNA from 1 species